AUGCCUGGUGGGUACAAAGGGGAGUGUGGGGACGAUGUGGACCCUAUGCCUUUCCUGGCACCUCCUGAAAAGGAGAGGAUUGAAGCCAUGAACAAGCCCUAUGACAUUAAGAGGUCCUGCUGGGUCAAAGAUGAGAAGGAAGGCUUCGUCGCUGGGGAGAUCCAGUCUGAACAGGGUGACCAAGUCACCGUGAAGACGAUCACCAACCAGACACUCACUGUGAAGAAGGAUGAUAUCCAGCAGAUGAACCCACCCAAAUUCUACCAGGCCAGUGACAUGGCAGACAUGACCUUCCUGAAUGAGGCCAGUGUCCUAGACAAUCUGCGCCAACGCUACACCAACAUGAGGAUCUAUACCUACUCGGGCUUGUUCUGCGUGACGGUCAACCCCUACAAGUGGCUGCCCAUCUACGGGGCCCGUGUGGCUAACAUGUACAAGGGCAAGAAGCGCACAGAGAUGCCGCCUCACCUCUUCUCCAUCUCUGACAACGCCUACCACGACAUGCUUAUGGAUCGUGAGAAUCAGUCUAUGCUAAUCACCGGAGAAUCUGGUGCUGGUAAGACUGAGAACACGAAGAAGGUCAUCCAGUACUUUGCCAACAUUGGAGGAACUGGCAAACAGACCACAGAUAAGAAGGGGUCUCUGGAGGAUCAAGUCAUCCAGGCAAACCCUGUGCUGGAGGCCUUUGGGAACGCCAAGACCACCAGGAACAACAACUCCUCUCGCUUCAUCUCUUAGAGAAAUCUCGUGUCAUCUCACAGCAAGCAGCCGAGAGAAGCUACCACAUCUUCUACCAGAUUCUCUCAAACAAGAAGCCUGAACUUGUUGAGAGUUUGCUGCUGGUCCCCAACCCUAAGGAAUACCACUGGGUGAGCCAAGGCGUCACCACUGUGGACAACAUGGAUGACAAGGAGGAGCUGCAGAUCACAGAUGAAGCCUUUGACGUACUGGGCUUCAGCGCCGAGGAGAAGAUGGCCGUGUAUAAGCUGACGGGAGGUAUCAUGCACUUUGGGAACAUGAAGUUCAAGCAGAAGCCCAGAGACGAGCAAGCUGAAGUGGACACCACUGAGGUGGCUGACAAAGUCGCCCAUCUCAUGGGUCUCAACUCUGGUGAACUGCAGAAAGGCAUUACCAGGCCCCGAGUCAAAGUUGGCAAUGAGUUUGUGCAAAAAGGCCAGAACAUGGAACAGUGCCAAAACUCCAUUGGGGCUCUGGGCAAGGCUGUCUAUGACAAGAUGUUCAAGUGGUUGGUGGCCAGGAUUAACAAGACCUUGGACACCAAGAUGCAGAGGCAGUUCUUCAUUGGAGUGCUGGACAUCGCUGGCUUUGAGAUCUUUGAGUUCAACAGCUUUGAGCAGCUAUGCAUCAACUUCACCAACGAGAAGCUGCAGCAGUUCUUCAACCACCACAUGUUCGUGCUGGAGCAGGAGGAGUACAAGAGGGAAGGCAUCGAGUGGGUCUUCAUCGACUUUGGCCUCGACCUUCAGGCCUGCAUCGACCUGCUGGAAAAGCCCAUGGGCAUCUUCUCCAUCUUGGAGGAACAGUGCGUCUUCCCCAAAGCCACCGAUGCCACGUUCAAGGCAGCCCUGUACGACAACCACCUGGGCAAGUCCAGCAACUUCCUGAAGCCCAAGGGGGGCAAGAGCAAGGGGCCCGAGGUCCACUUCGAGCUGGUUCACUACGCAGGCACCGUGGGAUAUAACAUCACAGGCUGGCUGGAGAAGAACAAAGACCCCCUGAAUGAAACAGUGGUGGGCUUGUUCCAGAAAUCGAGUGUGGCAAUCCUGGCCCUUCUCUUCAAAGAAGAGGAGGCUCCAGCCGGAAGCAAGAAGCAGAAGAGAGGCUCCUCCUUCAUGACAGUCUCCAAUUUCUACAGGGAGCAGCUGAACAAGCUGAUGACCACCCUCCAUAGCCGCACCCCAUUUUGUCCGCUGUAUUAUCCCCAAUGAGUUUAAGCAAUCGGGUGUGAUAGACGCCCACCUGAUCAUGCACCAGCUAGCUUGCAAUGGUGUCCUGGAAGGCAUCCGUAUCUGCAGGAAGGGCUUCCCAAACAGGCUGCAGUACCCGGAGUUCAAACAGAGGUACCAAGUGCUGAACCCCAACGUGAUUCCCCAGGGGUUCGUGGACAACAAAAAGGCCUCAGAGCUGCUGCUUGCAGCCAUUGACCUAGAUGUGAAUGAAUACAAAAUUGGACACACCAAGGUGUUCUUCCGUGCGGGCAUCCUGGCCAGGCUUGAGGACAUGAGGGACGAGCGUCUGGCCAAGAUCAUGACGAUGCUGCAGUGUCGGCUUCGGGGCUUCCUCAUGAGGGUGGAGUUCAAGAAGAUGCUGGAACGAAGAAUGGGCCUGAAAGUCAUUCAGCAGAACGUGCACAAGUUCCUGCAGCUCCGUUUCUGGGGCUGGUGGAAGCUGUACAACAAGGUCAAGCCACUCCUGAAUGUGGCUCGGCAAGAAGAGGAGAUGAAGGCCAAGGAGGAGGAGCUCAGGAAAGCCAUGGCCCAAACCCAGGAGUUGGUAAACAAGGUCAAGGAACUGGAGGAGAAGACAGCCACGCUCAGCCAGGAGAAGAAUGACCUCACCAUCCAGCUGCAGGCUGAGCAAGAGAACCUGAUGGAUGCAGAGGAGCGCCUGACAUGGAUGAUGAAGACCAAGAUGGAUCUAGAGAGCCAGAUCUCAGACAUGCGGGAGCGGCUGGAGGAGGAAGAGGGCAUGGCGGCCUCACUGAGUGCCGCCAAGCGCAAGUUGGAAGGGGAGCUGAGCGACCUGAAGCGGGACCUAGAGGGCCUGGAAACCACGCUGGCCAAGACAGAGAAGGAGAAGCAGGCCCUGGAUCACAAGGUCCGUACCCUGACGGGGGACCUCUCACUCCGUGAAGACUCCAUCACCAAGCUCCAGAAGGAGAAGAGGGCCCUAGAGGAGCUGCACCAGAAAACCCUGGACGACCUACAGGCUGAGGAGGACAAGGUGAACCACCUGACCAAAAAUAACAGCAAGCUGAGCACGCAGAUCCAUGAGCUGGAGGAUAACUGGGAGCAGGAAAAGAAAAUCCGGGCGGAGGUGGAAAAGGCUCGUCGGAAAGCUGAGAGUGACCUGAAGAUGACCAUCGACAACCUCAAUGAGAUGGAGCGUUCCAAGCUGGAUCUCGAGGAGGUGGUGAAAAAGAGGGAUUUGGAAAUAAACUCUGUCAACUCGAAAUAUGAGGAUGAGCAGUCUCUGAAUUCCACGCUGCAGCGGAAACUGAAGGAGCACCAGGACCGAAUUGAAGAGCUGGAAGAAGAACUAGAAGCUGAGAGGGCCAUGAGAGCCAAGAUCGAGCAGAACCGCAAGCGGGAGGCUGAGCUGCUGAAGCUGCGGCGGGAGCUGGAAGAGGCCGCCCUGCAGAGCGAGGCGACGGCCUCCACACUGCGCAAGAAGCACGUGGACUCCAUGGCCGAGCUGACGGAGCAUGUGGAGAGCCUGCAGAGGGUCAAGUCCAAGCUAGAGAAAGAUAAACAGGUCAUGAAGGCUGAGAUUGAUGACCUCAAUGCCAGCAUGGAGACGAUACAGAAGUCCAAGAUGAACGCCGAGGCCCACGUCAGAAAGCUGGAAGACAGCUUAUCAGAAGCCAACGCCAAGGUGGCAGAGCUAGAGCGAAACCAAGCAGAAAUCAAUGCCAUCAGGACCCGCCUCCAAGCUGAAAAUAGUGAACUGAGCAGGGAAUAUGAAGAGUCCCAGAGCCGGCUCAAUCAAAUCCUACGGAUAAAGACAUCUCUGACGUCACAAGUGGAUGAUUACAAGAGGCAGCUGGAUGAAGAGUCAAAGUCUCGCAGCACCGCCGUGGUGAGUCUGGCCAACACCAAGCACGACCUGGACCUAGUAAAGGAGCAGCUGGAGGAGGAGCAGGGAGGCAAGUCAGAGCUGCAGCGCCUCGUGUCCAAACUCAACACUGAGGUCACCACCUGGAGGACCAAGUACGAGACCGAUGCCAUCCAGAGGACAGAGGAGCUGGAGGAGACCAAGAGGAAGCUGGCCGCCAGGCUUCAGGAGGCAGAAGAAGCAGCUGAAACUGCCCAGGCCCGGGCCGCCUCCCUCGAGAAAAAUAAGCAGAGACUCCAGGCAGAAGUUGAGGACCUCACCAUCGACUUGGAGAAGGCCAAUGCUGCAGCUGCUGCCCUGGACAAGAAGCAGAGGCUCUUUGACAAGAUGCUGGCUGAGUGGCAGCAGAAGUGUGAGGAGUUGCAGGUGGAAGUGGACAGCUCGCAGAAGGAGUGCCGCAUGUACAUGACAGAGAGCUUCAAGAUCAAGACUGCCUACGAGGAGUCUCUGGAGCAUCUAGAGUCCGUGAAGAAGGAGAAUAAGACCCUGCAGGAGGAGAUAAAGGAUCUCAUUGAUCAGCUGGGUGAGGGAGGAAGGAGUGUGCAUGAACUGCAGAAGUUGAAGAAAAAAUUGGAGAUGGAAAAGGAAGAACUCCAGGUGGCCCUGGAAGAAGCUGAGUCUUCCCUGGAGGUUGAAGAGAGCAAGGUGAUUCGAAUUCAGUUGGAACUGGCUCAGGUUAAAGCUGACAUCGACCGAAGAAUCCAUGAGAAAGAAGAAGAAUUUGAGGCUACCAGGAAGAACCACCAGCGGGCAAUCGAGUCCUUGCAGGCCAGCCUAGAGGCAGAGGCCAAGGGCCGGGCAGAGGCACUUCGGCUCAAGAAGAAGAUGGAGACGGACCUGAAUGAGAUGGAAAUCCAGCUGGACCACGCCAACAAGAACAACAGCGAACUUGUAAAGACAUUGAAAAGGCUGCAACAGCAAAUCAAGGACCUGCAGGUCCAGAUGGACGAGGAUGCCAGGCAGCACGAGGAGCUGCGGAAGCAGUACAACCUGCAGGAGCGGCGCUUGAGCCUGCUGCAGACGGAGCUGGAGGAGGUGCGCUCAGCCCUGGAGGGCAGCGAGCGUUCACGCAAGCUGUUGGAGCAGGAAGUGGUGGAGAUCACCGAAUGGCACAACGAGAUCAACAUCCAGAACCAGAGCCUCCUCGUGGUCAAACGCAAGCUGGAGUCAGAUGUCCAGCGCAUCUCCAACGAGCAUGAGGAGCUCAUCAGUGAGUUCCGCUUGACCGAAGAGAGGGCCAAGAAGGCCAUGAUGGACGCUGCCCGCAUGGCAGAAGAACUCCGGCAAGAGCAGGACCACUGCAUGCACCUGGAGAAGAUCAAGAAGAACUACGAGGUCACCAUCAAAGACCUGCAAGCCAAGAUGGAGGAGGCCGAGCAGCUGGCUCUGAAAGGCGGCAAGCGAACGAUCAUGAAGCUGGAGGCCAGGAUCAAGGAACUAGAGACAGAGCUGGAUGGGGAACAGAAACAGCACGUGGAGACAGUCAAGACACUGUGUAAGAAUGAGCGUCGCCUCAAAGAGCUGGUCUUCCAGACAGAGGAGGACCACAAGACCAAUCAGCGCAUGCAGGCGCUGGUGGAGAAGCUUCAGAACAAGCUGAAGGUCUACAAGAGGCAGAUUGAGGAGGCGGAGGACCAGGCCAACCAGACCUUGGCUCGAUACAGGAAGACGGUGCAUGAGCUGGAUGACGCUGAGGACCGGGCUGGCAUGGCAGAGACUGCCCUAAACAAGCUGCGCACCAGACACCGCGUGGCCGGCAAGGGCAUCACCUCUGUGGAGAUCAUCCAGGUGUCCAAGACAGGCACCUCGAAAACCCUUUCUGAGGAGUGAGGCCCUCCGUGUCCUAGGCCACAACUGGGUAAUACAGAUCUCAACUGCAGUCCAUUCAGAGGGAGAAAAUAUGAAAAUGGAAAACUGGGUCUGUCCUGAGAAUGUUUACUAUGCAAAAGAAAGUGCAAGCCAGGAAGAGACAGGUGGUGAAGAAUAAAGAGCGCUAUGGUGGAAAAUGAGCUUGAGAAUGUAAAACCCGCCAUUAGAGGAAUGAAAAUGAGUGGGGCUUCUCUGGAACGGCAGUAAGCAUUUGGAUGACAGUAAUGAUGGAUCUGUUUCAGUUGAGUUCCUACAUGGUCAUGUCAAGGACGGAAUAUGUAAUGUCUGUGACCCGGCUGUUCUCUACAAAGAAUUCCUCAUGUUGACAAUGUUAAUGUCCCAAUAUAGCUUAAAUAAAAGAAACAUUAAAAAAAUAGA